CUCUAGCAAGAGAAGGCGAGAUGCAUGAAGCGAUGAAUCUGAGUGUGACCUCGGUGGAAGCACUGGUGUCUCAAAUACAAGGGUUGUCGAGCAACAUCGACGAUGUAACUCAGCUAUGCAGCUGUUUGAAACAGUCCGAAAAUUGGCUUCGUGUCGAGCAACUCUCGCUCGCUCCUCUCCUCAGCGAACUCGAUCCCGCUAUGCAUUCCCUUGGAUACCUCUACAUUCUUUAUAUCUGUUUGUAAAGGGUUAAAGGACCAAGUUAUGUUGCUUGAAGACCCCAUUCGCGUUCUGGCUCAGAUGUUGACAGCUCCACGGAAGCUUAAAAUGUCCUCUGAACAGUUAACAACUUUACAUCUACUCUCUGUUUAUUGUCAAAAUGCUAUAGGCAGGACUCUCCAUUUUGGACGAUGUCAUAUUUGAGGUUGAUCAGCCUUGCAACUUUUUCCUCUACUGUUAUUAUCGGUUGUAACUGCUCCUAUGCCCACUAUUAGUGCUAUAGCUGUUGCAGCAUACAAAAAAUACAUACUGGUUUCCUCAUUCAUCUCGCGCAGUUCUCCACCAGUUUCCCCAAGUAUACUUCUUCAGCAGCUCAAAGGAAUUUGAAAAAAUUCUCUCAG